rnacentral:rRNA from 1 species
UACGGGGGGGGCAAGCGUUGUUCGGAAUUAUUGGGCGUAAAGAGCUUGUAGGCGGUUUGUCGCGUCUGCUGUGAAAAUCCGGGGCUCAACCCCGGACUUGCAGUGGGUACGGGCAGACUAGAGUGUGGUAGGGGAGACUGGAAUUCCUGGUGUAGCGGUGAAAUGCGCAGAUAUCAGGAAGAACACCCGUGGCGAAGGCGGGUCUCUGGGCAACAACUGACGCUCAUGCACGAAAGCGUGGGGAGCAAACAGG